CAACUGUUCCUAUAAAACAAUCCUUACCAAUCAUAUAGAAUAGGUUCUGUAAAUAAUUAGAUGUUUACCAGCCAAGAAUGGGAAACUAUAUUUGCUCUGUGCAAUACUGAAGAUGGAAGUCUACAGGGUUCCAGAGAUGCAUAGGAAAUAAAAUUUCAUUUAUAGAAACAAGAAACAUUUUAUUUAAUGGAAUGUACUGAUGCUAGUAGACACAACACAAAUAAAAGAAAAAUGUAUCCACUAGUUCAUCAGAAUGUUGUAAGAUGGAGAUCGUGAAAACAGAGGACUGUCAUUGUCUCAAAGGAAUUUCUUGAAAGACUGUGAGUGAAGUGGAUGUGCCCGUGGUGCUCCGUAAUAUGCUAGGUUUUUUUAUAGCUGUUGUUGGGUCCAGCCUAAUUUUGUUUAUUGAUUAUAAUGAUAUAAUAAUAGUUACAUGAGCAUAAAUAUAUUAUUAUGAUCAAAUAUUUAUCAAAUAAUAUAAUAAACAUUGAUAUGACAUAUUUGUAUUUUAAUAUUAUGUACAAGGUAAUUACUGAUUAGUUUUAUAUUAAUGAUUAA